CGUAACAAGGUCUCCGUUGGUGAACCAGCGGAGGGAUCAUUAA
rnacentral:rRNA from 1 species